rnacentral:misc_RNA from 1 species
AAGAAGAAGAAGAAGAAGAAGAGGUAAUGUAAUAACAAUAGAAGGCCCGAAACCAGCAGCAGCAGUAGCCCUGAUUAUGGUCUCCAUUCCAUAACUAUACAUACAACUUUCUCUGCAAACCUACACUUUCUCUACCAUUUUUUUUUUUUAAUUUUUUAGACUCAACUAUUCCAUAACAAUUCGAAUAAAUAAAAAGAGAAUAUCUUCUCUGACCUCUGUAUCUUGUGCUCUCCAUUUCUUAAUCAAUAAUGCAACAAUUCUCGUCGUCAGAGAUCAUUUCUAGGGAGUAUAAAUCCUAAAAAACUGCACAGACCCUUUUCCAAAUCUUCUCCUUAUUCCUUUCUCUAUGAGUGUUGAGAAUUGCCCAUAGAGAAAAAAAAGCCCUCAAGACAAAUUUGUCAAUUUUUUUUUUGGUUUGAUGAAUUUGAUGAAAGUUUAGAGGAGGUAAAUUCUCGAAAGAAUCAAUAAUAUGGUGGAGGAGGAGGUGAAGCAUAUGAGAACCCAGUGAUCGGUGGCAGUGGCCCUUCGUACACUGGAGCUGGAGGAGGUGGACUUCCAUAGAUUAUGGCUGGAGGUGGUGGUGGAGGUGGAUUUGCACAUGGAACUGGAGGUGGUGGUGAGGGUGGCGAUGGAGAAUGGUAAAUUGGUGGUGGUGAGGGAGAAUGGUGAACUGGCGGUGGUGGAGAUGCAUACGUUACAGGUGGAGGCGGUGGUGAGUUAUAAACAGGUUGUGGUGGAGGUGGUGACGGGGAUGGUGGUGGCUUGUAAUGCGUUGGUGGUGGCGGCGAUGGUGGAGGUGGUGAAUACUCUAUACAUGGUGGUGGUGGUGGUGGUUCUAUACAAGGGGGUGGCGAUGGUGGUGGUGGCGAAUGGACGGGAGGAGGUGGAGAAUAGAUAGGUGGAGGCGGAGGUGACAAGUAUGGAUAGAAAGGUGGGGGAGGUGAAUGUGGGGGUGGUGGAGGCGAAUGUGGGGGUGGAGGUGGGGAGGGUGGAGGUGGAGAGCUGUAAUAGUAAGGAGUUGGCGGUGGAGGGGAAGAUAAUGGAGGUGGAGGUGGUGGAGAAUUUGGUGGAGGAGGUGGCGGGGGUCGCACACAAGGAGGCAACGGUGAAGGUGGUGGUGGAGAUGGAGGAGGAGGUGACGGUGGUGGUGGAUAUACUAAAGGCGGUGGAGGAGAGGGUGGGGGAGGAGAUGGUGGAGGUGGGGAAGGUGGAGGAGGGGGCGGAGAGUAAACUGGAGGAGGUGGCGGUGGUGGAGAAGGUAUUGGGGGAGGAGGAGGUGGUGGAGAUAAGUAUACAGGUGGUGGGGGUGACGGUGGAGGGGGAGGUGGCGAGUAUACUGGUGGUGGGGGUGAAGGUGGAGGAGGAGGUGGUAAGUAAACCGGUGGUGGAGGAGGAGGUGAGUAAACCGGUGGCGGUGGCGGAGGUGGUGAUAGAGGAAUAACAACUGGUGGUGGUGGGGAAGGUGGAGGAGGAGCAGGCAAAGAAGGAACAAAAGGCUUACAUCUGAACACACUACAAUCCACAGGCUUAAAUGCCCUGCAUUGGGCUGGAGACCUUUGUGACGGCCUCGCAGGCAAGCAAUUCUUCCUGUCAUCGAAGUCUCUGAGGCUCAAGCACACCGGCGGCUCUCCAGUGAAGAAGUUAUAAGAAAAGGUAAAGUUCUCCAAAUUGGGUAACUUGCAAAUACUAGGUGGAAUACUCCCAGAUAGCAUGUUAUGAGCCACAUUGAGCUGCUCAAGUCCAACAAUACCUCCAAAUGUGUCCGGCAAUGAACCCAUUAACUGGUUAAAGCUUACAUCAAAAACAUUCAAGUCCUUGAGCAUACCAAUCUCCGGUGGCAAACAGGACUUUAGAUUAUUAUUCAUGAGGAUGAUUUCAUUGAGAUUUGUCAUGUUACCCAAGCUUGAAGGCACACAGCCAUGGAACUUAUUGUUGGCUAAAACAAUAACAGAAACUGGGGAGUUGCCAAAAUUAUCUGGAAUAUCGAAAACGAACCUGUUGUGGUUGAUGAAGAUUGCAUCUAAAUCUUUAUCAAAUAGCUCUUUUGGUACAGCACCCUCAAAUUCAUUGAACCUCAGAUCCAAAAAUUUUAGCAUGGGUAGCUUGAGGACAACUUGAGGGAAUUUCCCAGCAAACCGGUUGUUGCUAAGAUCCAGCUCAAAAAGCAGUCCCAAGUCUUUGAACUUGUGAGGUACAGUUCCACAAAACCUGUUGGAGUUGAUGUGAAACAAUGCAAGAUCCACCAGCAAGCCAAGCUCCUCCGGUAAGUAGCCAGCAAUAUCACCGUGGUUGAGGUCAAUGCCGGCGACAGUAUUGAUGGUCUUGUUAUCGAGAGCGUGAGCACAGUAAACCCCAGUGUAGUGGCAAACAUCAGAUCCGACCCAAUUGGCAGUAAGAUUCAUAGGAUCAGAGAGGAUAGCUUGUUUCCAAGCUUGCAAUGCUAUAUAAGCAUUUCGAAGUCUUGGAUUCUCAAAAACUAGAGAUGGGUCUACAGUGACUCUCUCACCUCUAUCACCAAAUUCAUCUCUGUAAUAAAGAAGCUGGCGCUUCCUGAUGUACAUAGCUUCAGCAUCAGUGAGGCGUCCAUGGGAGGGGAUUGUCGGGAUCUGCUGAGAAGCAGCAGAAGAGAAGCACACAAUUGUGCCAAGAAAGAAGAAGGCAAUGAGAAGAGAGAAAUGAGGAUAGAAGUGGGUCUUCUUCCUCAUCUCACAUGAGACGUCCGCUCUAGCAAAUGCCACUCUCUGUUUAUUUAUCUUGGCUGUUCUGUAUGUACCUCAACCAAGAAAAUGGGUUUUGCAAGAAAUGCUCUGAAACUCAAAAUGGGUGUUGGCCUGAGAUCUGAGAGAGAAAGAAAUAGAGAGACAGAUUUUGUUUUGGGGUUUGAGGAGAGAGAGGGGGAGAAUGGGGGAGAGGGUUUUUUCAAGGGAUUUUGGAGGUGUGUGAAGGAGAAAAAAUAAUGAACUAAGAGACAGCUAAAUCACAGCUAAAAGUCCACCAGAUUCUCUCUCACACUAUCCUUCAUUCUUAAUUUUUCAUUUUUUAAAUUUAUGUUAAAAAUAUGCUCCCAUUAUAUGUCACUUUUAUUUUUAUAUGAAAUUCUGUCCCAUGAGAACCUAUCUUUGUUCUUUAUUUUAGAUAUUCUCCCAUUAAAAA